rnacentral:rRNA from 1 species
GACGAACGCUGGCGGCGUGCUUAACACAUGCAAGUCGAACGAUGAACCCGGAGCUUGCUCUGGGGGAUUAGUGGCGAACGGGUGAGUAACACGUGAGUAACCUGCCCUGGACUCUGGGAUAAGCGUUGGAAACGACGUCUAAUACCGGAUAGGACCUUGGAUCGCAUGAUCUGGGGUGGAAAGUUUUUUCGGUCUGGGAUGGACUCGCGGCCUAUCAGCUUGUUGGUGAGGUAAUGGCUCACCAAGGCGUCGACGGGUAGCCGGCCUGAGAGGGUGACCGGCCACACUGGGACUGAGACACGGCCCAGACUCCUACGGGAGGCAGCAGUGGGGAAUAUUGCACAAGGGGCGAAAGCCUGAUGCAGCAACGCCGCGUGCGGGAUGACGGCCGUCGGGUUGUAAACCGCUUUUAGUAGGGAAGAAGGGCUUCGGCUUGACGGUACCUGCAGAAAAAGGACCGGCUAACUACGUG